rnacentral:tRNA from 1 species
AUUUAAGUGGUUUAAUAAAAAUUUUGACUUGUGGCGUCAGCGAUGUGUUUGGGCACCUUAAAUA